rnacentral:rRNA from 1 species
AUGCUUAGGCAAUGGCUCAACAAUGUCCCGAUAUUCCCGGUCGGGCCGCUGCUCCGGGCAGCAAGAUCGGCAUUGCCGGAGAAGGCGACAACGAGUAGCCCCAUCUUGGCUUGGCUCGGCAAGCAACCGCCAGGCUCGGUGCUGUACGUGUCGUUCGGGUCGCUGUACAUGAUCUCCGCGUCGCAGGUUGAGAUCCUGGCGCACCCGGCCACGGGCGCCUUCCUGACGCACUGCGGGUGGAACUCGGCACAGGAAAGCCUCGCCGGGGGCGUGCCGAUGGUGGGGUGGCCGCUCUUGGCGGAGCAGUUCUACAACGCCAAGUUGCUGUCGGAGGAGAUGGGUGUGUGCGUUCAGCUGGCGCGCGGCGCCAUGGCGGCCGUGACGAGGGACGAGGUGGCGGAGGCGGUGGAGAGGGUGCUCGGCGAGACGUCCGGAAUCAAGCUGUAUAUGAUACUUGAGCUGAGGUUCAUAAUUCGGGGGCAAGUGAGUGUAAAAUGGCUGCACCGGCUUCACCCUAGGGUCAGAGAUGGCGAGGCAUAA